rnacentral:rRNA from 1 species
UGCCGCGUGAGUGAAGAAGGCCUUCGGGUUGUAAAGCUCUUUCGGACAGAAAGAAAUCGCACGGGUAAAUAAUUCGUGUGGAUGACGGUACUGUAAGAAGAAGCACCGGCUAACUACGUGCCAGCAGCCGCGGUAAUACGUAGGGUGCGAGCGUUAAUCGGAAUUACUGGGCGUAAAGCGUGCGCAGGCGGUUGCAUAAGACAGAUGUGAAAUCCCCGGGCUUAACCUGGGAACUGCGUUUGUGACUGUGUAACUGGAGUACGGCAGAGGGGGGUGGAAUUCCUGGUGUAGCAGUGAAAUGCGUAGAUAUCAGGAGGAACACCGAUGGCGAAGGCAGCCCCCUGGGCCUGUACUGACGCUCAUGCACGAAAGCGUGGGGAGCAAACAGGAUUAGAUACCCUGGUAGUCCACGCCCUAAACGAUGUCGACUAGUUGUUCGGGAAGGUGACUUCUUGAGUAACGAAGCUAA